AAAGUAAAAAAAUAUUUUUUUUCGAAAAUAUUUUAAAUAAAUUUAAAAAAGAAGAUUUUUCGCGAUCAUAUUUUGCCGCGGUUAAGCCCGUGCAGCUGUCUGUCUGUCUGUCAGGUACUGAAAAAAAUCAGUACCUCGGUACUUACGUGAAAACGUGGUUUGGACUUUGCCAAAGCUAAGUUUACUUUUAAUCUAUUUUCAUCCAUUACAUUUUUUAAUAUUAUUUUUCACUUGAAAUUUGUUUUAAUACUUUGUUUUCAUAGAUACAUAUCAUUACUAUUAUUUUUAUUUUCCUUUUUUUUUUUUUUUUUUUUUUUUUUUUGUAACAGUACUUUCUAGUUUGAACUUUUCACUUCUCUAUCUUCCUAUAAUGAACUAAUAUUGUUUAAUUAAACUUAUAAUUACUUUUCAUCUUUAUUAAACUUUUUUAUUUCUGAUAGUUUUGACUUUUGCAUAAUUGCCAAGUUUCUGAAAUUUCUAACAAUAAAUUUCAUUAAACUAUUUCUGUCACUGUACUGACUUUUUUGAAUAUGGCUUCUUUGCAUGAAAAACUGAAAUAUUUCUGUUUAAUUACUGACAUGCAUUUAAUUAAUACAGAGGCAGCUGCACUCGAGUUUGCCACCGAUGCUGGACUUCUUCCCAGAGAGGAUGAGGCACCACCUUGCCCCAAGUGCCAGGCACCGAUGAGAAGCAACAAGAGAAAGGAAUCAAAGCUGGGAUGGCGUUGGGUCUGCAGCCUGAGAAAUCGCAACAACUGCUCUGGCAUGAUUAACCCCAUUGAAAACACAUUUUUUGAAGGUACAAAAAUCCCAAUAAGGGAAGCUUUAGUCAUAACUGUGUACUUUGUUCUAGAUCACAGUUUCAGCUACAUAAAUCAGCAGCUAAAGCUAUGGAGGGAAAAGCAAAAAUUACCAGUAAUUGCAAAUGAGACUAUUGUUGACUUUUUAUCAUAUUGUCGUGAGGUAUGCGAAAUUUUUGCCUCUCAUCAUAGCAGAAUGUUAGGUGGUAAAGGAAAAUCUAUAUUAAUUGAUGAAACAUUUUUGACCCGCCGCAAGUACAACCGCGGCAGGGUAACCAAAAAUAUGACCAUCGUAGUUUUAGGCAUCUACUGUCGAGAAGACAAAGAAGGAUUAUUUUUCAAGGUUAAAGGAAAAAGCAAAAGGCAUUUGUGGCCUUACAUUAAACGUCAUGUUCACCCAGAAACCACCUUCAUAUACACUGACUCUGCUCCACAAUAUAAAAGGAUAGAAAAUUUAUUUCCGGCAGCAACACAUAAAACUACCAAUCACAAGAAAGGCGUAUUCGUAGAUCCCGAUGAUAAACAGAACACUAUAAAUGAUCUUGAGGGUGAAAACAAACUUUUUAAGAGGUCUAUAAAGAGCAAGAGAACAGAUGAUAUUUGCACGCAGUACAUGGCUGUACAUUAUUACAGGCGGUUCCGCUUGAAGCCCUUUACUUAUGAUGGAGAAAGACUUGCUCAGUUUCUACAGGACAUUAAAGCUGUGUAUCCAGGCCAUGGAAAAGUCGGCCUUGAACUUAAAAUGUUGGACGAACCAACAUCAGAAAGCGAAGGAAUUGAGGACCUGAUGCCUCCAAAGAAAUCAGCCCGACAAGAUGAUGAUAUACCAUUCAUUCAGGAAGAUGAUGAUAAAUGGGAAUUCAACCAAAAAACAGAGCCCAGAAAACAAAAGGAUGGAAAUGUUGCGAAAAUGUUGCAUAUCUUUUACAGAAAGAGCUGCAGAUCCAAAAUGUCAUGAAAUACUAUGACAGAGGUAAUCCAAAAAAAUAAAUAAAAGAAAGAAGAAAACUAAUUUUGACAGAUAAAUUGACAAACAUAGAGGUAAAGAAUAUUGCAGAAAUGAGAAAUGAAUCAUGGAAAGAAAUGAAUCUUCAGUCAGAAAAUAUACAGGGACUUCAAAAAUAACAUUUUGCUGCCACUUAGACGAGGGAAGAAGCAGAUGGAGAAAUCAACUCGGAUGACAAACCCAGUACCUGGGGGUAUAGCCAGGUUUUUCUUUCAAGAAACACAUCCGAGUUGAAACGACUGAUGCGGGCCACACCUGAAAGCGAAGGAACUGAGCAACUGCUGCCACCACAGGAAAUCUCGACGAUCAUGAAAUUUAAAAUCUUGUUUACUUAUCUUGUAUUUUGAAUAUGCAUAAUAUGGAUAUUUUGUUUAGGGACUUCAAAAAUAACAUUUUGCUGCCACUUAGACGAGGGAAGAAGCAGAUGGAGAAAUCAACUCGGAUGACAAACCCAGUACCUGGGGGUAUAGCCAGGUUUUUCUUUCAAGAAACACAUCCGAGUUGAAACGACUGAUGCGGGCCACACCUGAAAGCGAAGGAACUGAGCAACUGCUGCCACCACAGGAAAUCUCGACGAUCGUGAAAUUUAAAAUCUUGUUUACUUAUCUUGUAUUUUGAAUAUGCAUAAUAUGGAUAUUUUGUUUAGGGACUUCAAAAAUAACAUUUUGCUGCCACUUAGACGAGGGAAGAAGCAGAUGGAGAAAUCAACUCGGAUGACAAACCCAGUACCUGGGGGUAUAGCCAGGUUUUUCUUUCAAGAAACACAUCCGAGUUGAAACGACUGAUGCGGGCCACACCUGAAAGCGAAGGAACUGAGCAACUGCUGCCACCACAGGAAAUCUCGACGAUCAUGAAAUUUAAAAUCUUGUUUACUUAUCUUGUAUUUUGAAUAUGCAUAAUAUGGAUAUUUUGUUUAGGGACUUCAAAAAUAACAUUUUGCUGCCACUUAGACGAGGGAAGAAGCAGAUGGAGAAAUCAACUCGGAUGACAAACCCAGUACCUGGGGGUAUAGCCAGGUUUUUCUUUCAAGAAACACAUCCGAGUUGAAACGACUGAUGCGGGCCACACCUGAAAGCGAAGGAACUGAGCAACUGCUGCCACCACAGGAAAUCUCGACGAUCGUGAAAUUUUAAAUCUUGUUUACUUAUCUUGUAUUUUGAAUAUGCAUAAUAUGGAUAUUUUGUUUAGGGACUUCAAAAAUAACAUUUUGCUGCCACUUAGACGAGGGAAGAAGCAGAUGGAGAAAUCAACUCGGAUGACAAACCCAGUACCUGGGGGUAUAGCCAGGUUUUUCUUUCAAGAAACACAUCCGAGUUGAAACGACUGAUGCGGGCCACACCUGAAAGCGAAGGAACUGAGCAACUGCUGCCACCGCAGGAAAUCUCGACGAUCAUGAAAUUUAAAAUCUUGUUUACUUAUCUUGUAUUUUGAAUAUGCAUAAUAUGGAUAUUUUGUUUAGGGACUUCAAAAAUAACAUUUUGCUGCCACUUAGACGAGGGAAGAAGCAGAUGGAGAAAUCAACUCGGAUGACAAACCCAGUACCUGGGGGUAUAGCCAG
rnacentral:misc_RNA from 1 species